AUUGAACGCUGGCGGCAGGCCUAACACAUGCAAUCGAGCGGAUGAAGGGAGCUUGCUCCUGGAUUCAGCGGCGGACGGGUGAGUAAUGCCUAGGAAUCUGCCUGGUAGUGGGGGAUAACGUCCGGAAACGGGCGCUAAUACCGCAUACGUCCUGAGGGAGAAAGUGGGGGAUCUUCGGACCUCACGCUAUCAGAUGAGCCUAGGUCGGAUUAGCUAGUUGGUGGGGUAAAGGCCUACCAAGGCGACGAUCCGUAACUGGUCUGAGAGGAUGAUCAGUCACACUGGAACUGAGACACGGUCCAGACUCCUACGGGAGGCAGCAGUGGGGAAUAUUGGACAAUGGGCGAAAGCCUGAUCCAGCCAUGCCGCGUGUGUGAAGAAGGUCUUCGGAUUGUAAAGCACUUUAAGUUGGGAGGAAGGGCAGUAAGUUAAUACCUUGCUGUUUUGACGUUACCAACAGAAUAAGCACCGGCUAACUUCGUG
rnacentral:rRNA from 1 species